rnacentral:rRNA from 1 species
UGAGUAUUCCAAGGCGCUUGAGAGAACUCAGGAGAAGGAACUCGGCAAAUUAGUACCGUAACUUCGGGAUAAGGUACGCCCCUAGUAGGUGAAAGUGUACAACUGGAGCCGAAUGGGGUCGCAGUGAAAAGGUGGCUGCGACUGUUUAACAAAAACACAGCACUCUGCAAACACGUCAAGUGGACGUAUAGGGUGUGACGCCUGCCCGGUGCCGGAAGGUUAAGUGAUGGGGUGCAAGCUCUUGAUCGAAGCCCCGGUAAACGGCGGCCGUAACAAUAACGGUCCUAAGGUAGCGAAAUUCCUUGUCGGGUAAGUUCCGACCUGCACGAAUGGCGUAACGAUGGCCACACUGUCUCCUCCUGAGACUCAGCGAAGUUGAAGUGUUUGUGAUGAUGCAAUCUCCCCGCUGCAAGACGGAAAGACCCCGUGCACCUUUACUGCAACUUUGCAUUGGACUUUGAUGAGAUUUGUGUAGGAUAGCUGGGAGACUUUGAAGUGGGGGCGCUAGCUCUCAUGGAGUCGACGUUGAAAUACCAGCCUGAUGUUAUUGAGGUUCUAACCUGGAUCCGUAAUCCGGAUCGGGGACCGUGCAUGGUGGGCAGUUUGACUGGGGCGGUCUCCUCCCAAAGAGUAACGGAGGAGUACGACGGUACGCUUAGCGCGGUCGGCUAUCGCGCUGUAUGUGCAAUGGCAAAAGCGUGCUUAACUGCGGGACGGACAUGUCGAGCAGGUGCGAAAGCAGGUCAUAGUGAUCCGGUGGUUCUGUAUGGAAGGGCCAUCGCUCAACGGAUAAAAGGUACGCCGGGGAUAACAGGCUGAUUCCUCCCAAGAGUUCAUAUCGACGGGGGAGUUUGGCACCUCGAUGUCGGCUCAUCACAUCCUGGGGCUGUAUCCGGUCCCAAGGGUAUGGCUGUUCGCCAUCUAAAGUGGUACGUGAGCUGGGUUCAAAACGUCGUGAGACAGUUUGGUCCCUAUCUGCAGUGGGCGUUGGAAGUUUGAGGGGGGCUGCUCCUAGUACGAGAGGACCGGAGUGGACGCAUCUCUGGUGUACCGGUUGUCACGCCAGUGGCAUCGCCGGGUAGCUAAAUGCGGAAAAGAUAAGCGCUGAAAGCAUCUAAGCGCGAAACUUGCCUCGAGAUGAGACUUCCCGGGAACUUGAUUCCCCUAAAGGGUCGCGGAAGACCACCGCGUUGAUAGGUCGGGUGUGUAAGAGCAGCAAUGCUUUGAGCUAACCGAUACUAAUUGCCCGUGAGGCUUGAUCCA